UGCCCUAGUAACGGCGAGUGAAGCGGCAACAGCUCAAAUUUGAAAUCUGGCUUCGGCCCGAGUUGUAAUUUGUAGAGGAAGCUUUAGGCGCGGCACCUUCUGAGUCCCCUGGAACGGGGCGCCAUAGAGGGUGAGAGCCCCGUAUAGUUGGAUGCCUAGCCUGUGUAAAGCUCCUUCGACGAGUCGAGUAGUUUGGGAAUGCUGCUCAAAAUGGGAGGUAAAUUUCUUCUAAAGCUAAAUAUUGGCCAGAGACCGAUAGCGCACAAGUAGAGUGAUCGAAAGAUGAAAAGCACUUUGAAAAGAGGGUUAAAUAGCACGUGAAAUUGUUGAAAGGGAAGCGCUUGUGACCAGACUUGCGCCGGGCGGAUCAUCCGGUGUUCUCACCGGUGCACUCCGCCCGGCUCAGGCCAGCAUCGGUUCUCGUGGGGGGAUAAAGGCCCUGGGAACGUAGCUCCUCCGGGAGUGUUAUAGCCCAGGGUGUAAUGCCCUCGCGGGGACCGAGGUUCGCGCAUCUGCAAGGAUGCUGGCGUAAUGGUCAUCAGCGACCCGUCUUGAAACACGGACCAAGGAGUCAAGGUUUUGCGCGAGUGUUUGGGUGUUAAACCCGCACGCGUAAUGAAAGUGAACGUAGGUGAGAGCUUCGGCGCAUCAUCGACCGAUCCUGAUGUAUUCGGAUGGAUUUGAGUAGGAGCGUUAAGCCUUGGACCCGAAAGAUGGUGAACUAUGCUUGGAUAGGGUGAAGCCAGAGGAAACUCUGGUGGAGGCUCGCAGCGGUUCUGACGUGCAAAUCGAUCGUCAAAUCUGAGCAUGGGGCGAAAGACUAAUCGAC
rnacentral:rRNA from 1 species